rnacentral:rRNA from 1 species
GACAGAGGUCCCGAGCGUUAGGCGGAAUCACUGGGCUUAAAGCGUGUGUAGGCGGAUUGGUAAGUACCUUGUGAAAUCCCACGGCUUAACCGUGGAACUGCUUGGUAUACUGCUUAUCUUGGGCCACUUAGGGGCUACCGGAACAAACGGUGGAGCGGUGAAAUGCGUAGAUAUCGUUUGGAACGCCAAUGGUGAAAACAGGUAGCUGGGAGUGUGCUGACGCUGAGACACGAAAGCCAGGGGAGCGAACGGG